UGAUACUGUCUUGAACACUAACUGCGUGCUACAGAUUGCGUGAUCAGGAGGAAGUAAAAGAUGAGGCUUUCAUCUUGGUUUUGGGCAGCCUGCCAUAGCUGUCCCUUUUUGAUUAGAGAAGUGGAACUAGAUGAUCUCAGGAGGUCCUUCCAACCUAAACAGAUCUGUGAUUUGCAGUCUCUGGUCUUCAUGGGUUACUCCAACCUGCCAAAGAUCUGCUGGAAGGACAACAAGCAAGGCACAAGGAAUCUAGAUUUCUGGACUGUAUGGAUGAUAACUUCCUGAUACAGAUGACUGAGAAGCCAAGAAGUGGAAGUACUCUUCUGGACCUGAUAAUUGCAAACAAGGAAGAACUUACUGGAAGUGUGAAUGUCAGGAAUGUCAUUUGACUCUGGAGUUCAGGAUCCUGAGGGAAAUAAGGCAAAUAGCAGGAUGACAGCCCUGGGCAUCAGGAGACCAGACUUCAGGGUUGAGGGAUCUGCUGGUGUGGGUUGAUGCUGGCUGGACACCAGGUGGUCACCCAAGCUGCUCUGUCACUCCCCUCCUCAGCUGGCCUGGGGA